CUGUUGCCUUCGCAGAUGCUGUC
rnacentral:misc_RNA from 1 species